rnacentral:lncRNA from 1 species
GCAACUGUUUAAAAAGAGGUCCCUAGCCCCCCUUCCACGUCUACUUUAAACCCCCCUCCCCGUUUUGUAACUUCCGACGAUUCCAAAUGACUCGUGCUGCUUCACCAUUGUCAGCAGCUUGAGACCUUACCCCAACGACCUCCUUCCCUAGAAAAGCCAGCAGCAACCAGCAUUCCCAAUUCCGCUAUGAACGACCACUCAUGAGCCGAGGGACCACCGCUGCUUCUUCAACUUUUUCCAUUCACGACAGCGCCGACAAACACGCAGACAAAACUAGUUGAAAAUACAGUAGAAACAGUGACGGUACAUGAGAGUUUUCCAGUCAUCGAGCCAUUGAGGUCGUCAUCGAGGUUCCCCUCGUCAUUCUCUAUUCGUUUUCAUAUACUCACUUCCAACCGAGCCAAUGUUUUUGUAAGUUGUUCGACUACAACUGUUACAUCUGCUUCUUUCAUGUUGGCCAAAAUUGAAAACCACACAAGUACUUAUGUUUAUUAUCUCAAUAGAAUUUUUUUUACAUGUUCAAAUCCUCGAUGUUUUUCUCGGCGUUGCUUUAUGGAUUUUGUUUACUUUUCUGGCAAUUGUUGUUGGUUGUAGCUGAAAAAAGAUUUGUGUAAUGAAACAAUGAUUUAUUUCUAGAGCUAUGGUUAUUCCAAUUAGUAGGCUUUGUUGUUCACUUCGUUCAUCCAGCAAAGGAGAGAAUCCUAUUCUCUUGAUCGCAUAUUUGUUGCUAAUUGCAGCUUCUGAGUAGUACUUAAACAUUAAAACCAUGCAGCAGAGCUCUGAGAGAUUAUUGUUUAUCUCGUCCUAAUCUAGCAAUCAUAUUUAAUGAGUUUUAAGUUCUUUUUUGUUGAGGGGUAUGUAGGUUAAACUACACUAAUAGUUUUUUGUCAUGUCACUGUAUAAGUAGUAAGCAUAUAUAUAUUUUUUUUCUAAAUCUGUUUUUUUGCUAAGUUCAAACAAACUUUGCAUUUUAUUAAUGGUGCUC